GAAUUUUNCGCNAUGGGCGAAAGCCUGACGGAGCAAUNCCGCCUGAGGGAAGACGGCCUNUGGGUUGUAAACCUNUUUUCUCNGGGAGGAACUCAAUGACGUGUACCUGAGGAAUAAGCAUCGGCUAACUCCGUGCCAGCAGCCGCGGUAAGACGGAGGAUGCAAGUGUUAUCCGGAAUCACUGGGCGUAAAGCGUCUGUAGGUGGUUUAAUAAGUCAACUGUUAAAUCUUGAGGCUCAACUUCAAAAUCGCAGUCGAAACUAUUAGACUAGAGUAUAGUAGGGGUAAAGGGAAUUUCCAGUGGAGCGGUGAAAUGCGUAGAGAUUGGAAAGAACACCGAUGGCGAAGGCACUUUACUGGGCUAUUACUAACACUCAGAGACGAAAGCUAGGGUAGCAAAUGGGAUUAGAUACCCCAGUAGUC
rnacentral:rRNA from 1 species